rnacentral:rRNA from 1 species
AUGAACGCUGGCGGCGUGCCUAAUCCAUGCAAGUCGCGCGAACAGACGAGGAGCUUGCUCCUCUGACGUUAGCGGCGGACGGGUGAGUAACACGUGGAUAACCUACCUAUAAGACUGGGAUAACUUCGGGAAACCGGAGCUAAUACCGGAUAAUAUAUUGAACCGCAUGGUUCAAUAGUGAAAGACGGUUUUGCUGUCACUUAUAGAUGGAUCCGCGCCGCAUUAGCUAGUUGGUAAGGUAACGGCUUACCAAGGCAACGAUGCGUAGCCGACCUGAGAGGGUGAUCGGCCACACUGGAACUGAGACACGGUCCACACUCCUACGGGAGGCAGCAGUAGGGAAUCUUCCGCAAUGGGCGAAAGCCUGACGGAGCAACGCCGCGUGAGUGAUGAAGGUCUUCGGAUCGUAAAACUCUGUUAUUAGGGAAGAACAAAUGUGUAAGUAACUAUGCACGUCUUGACGGUACCUAAUCAGAAAGCCACGGCUAACUACGUG